UUUUACUUAAAGUACCAGUAUAGUGCCAGGAAAACAUACUCAUUUUCCUGGCACUAUGGUGCCCUGAGGGGACCCCCUCCCGCCAGGCUCUGGGGAGAGGAAGGGGUUAAAAUCUUACCUUUCUCCAGCGCCGGGCUGGAAGCUCUCCUCCUCCUCUCCGCCUCUUCUAGUCCUCUUCGGCUGAAUGCGCAUGCGCGGCAGGAGCUGCGCGUGCAUUCAGCCAGUCUCAUAGGAAAGCAUUCAUAAUGCUUUCCUAUGGACGCUGGCGUCUUCUCACUGUGAUUUUCACAGUGAGAAGCAUGCAAGCGCCUCUAGCGGCUGUCAAGAGACAGCCACUGGAGGCUGGAUUAACCCUAACAAACAUAGCAGUUUCUCUGAAACUGCUAUGUUUAUAGAAAAA